rnacentral:rRNA from 1 species
UACGGAGGGUGCAAGCGUUUUCCGGAUUCACUGGGUUUAAAGGGUGCGUAGGCGGGCAGGUAAGUCAGUGGUGAAAUCUCCGGGCUUAACCCGGAAACUGCCGUUGAUACUAUCUGUCUUGAAUAUCGUGGAGGUAAGCGGAAUAUGUCAUGUAGCGGUGAAAUGCUUAGAUAUGACAUAGAACACCCAUUGCGAAGGCAGCUUACUACACGAUCAUUGACGCUGAGGCACGAAAGCGUGGGGAGCAAACAGG